ensembl:lncRNA
GGGGGGAAGGAGUGUGCUCCAUGCAGUCAGGGAAGUGGCCUCCAUCACUUCUGCCUGCAUUCCACUGGCGAGGGCUCAGUGAAUGCUUCCUGUUGCAUUCGGAAAUGAAUUUUCCUGUGUGCUCAGGAGGAAAAGAAGAAUUUGGGUGAACAUGUAGCAGUCUCUCUGCUCCAUCAACAUAAAGAGAAGCUAAAUGUUACCACGUGAGGUAGGCAGGACUGACCUUGACCGGCAUCCCUAUCAGCAGCUCAGGGGGAUUAAGUGGCUUGCCAAUGUCACAAGAAAGAAUGCAGUCAGAACAAGUCCAAGGGCGGUCCUAGUAGCAUCCUCUGAUUCAGCUCAACAUCCUCUCCCACAGGAACACAAGAAACAAAUGCUGCCUCUGCCCAGCUGUUCCUCACAGGGCCGCGCUCUUUCCAGUGGCUCCUCAUCAAGUUACCAAGCCGCAAGCCACUGCCUCAGCCAGACACCUUGGAGGACUCUGAUGACCUGUGGCAGCUUUGAGCAGCCCAUCUCUGUCAGUUUCAGAUCAAUCGCCUUGGUAUCAUCCAUGUGUUCCUUGUCUACCCACAGUUUACUUCCCAAUAGUGUAGAGUUAAGAUGUGGGACCUUCAUGGAGAACUAAGAAUCCUGCACUUCUCUCCUCAAUUUCCUUACUGGACUGACAUGUCAGUCUUCACACCAGGCUUUGCAGAUAUAAACACAUGAACGUGCUGAACAAUGAGUCAAUUUCAGGAGGGAAUUACAGACAUUUAUUCAGCAUCUAAUUUGUGCCAGAGCCUAUGCUACCACCAUUAGUAAAAAGAUGAAAAAGACAAUCUUAUCCAAGAGGAGCUCAGAGUGGAGGUGGGGCUGGGACAGCAGAAGAGACAGAGAGCACCAUAUGCCCUAGUAGAACCGUCUUUUAUCAUUUGAAAUUCUUAUGGAAGUCCUCCGAGGGAACAGACUGCAUCACUAAGGAAAAUGCUGAAAGGGGAAAAUGAGGAUUUGAUGCAAAGUCAGGAAGGAGGAAAACUCUGGGAGCAAAUGUCAGAGACUACAAAGGCAAACACCUCCAGGAGCCAGAUUCAGGUGCAAAUCAUUAGCUUUUCUAACCAACAUGCUGGUGAAACUACAUCCAAACCCACAAAUGUAAAAAAUGUGGACACAGAAGCAGGACUCAUCAGUGUAAGAGUUCUGGAAACCCAGGCAGAACAAGGACACUUCUGCAGUGCAGGCUGAGCCUUGAGCAAAAUUGCAUCCAACAUCCUAUUCCUAUGUUGCAGCAACAAGAACACCAGAGAAGAAAGAGCACGAAGUGGACUGAUUUUCCAUCUGGCCUAACGAGAGUCUGAAGUUGCUGAAUCAAACGGAGCCAAUAGGUCUGACUUGAGCUGGCUGAAACAUGCACAGAACUGGGAAAGACAAAUAGUCUUCUUUCUGAAAGGCCUAUCAAGCCAAAGCCUGCUCCUCCCCCAUCCUGCCUGCUUCAGCUCAUAGUCCUGAAAGAGAGCACAUCCUGUUCUUCCAACUCCAGAGACGCUGCUGCCUGUGGAGCAAUAGCAGGCCUGGGGGUAUUUCUACCCAAGAAGCCGGCUGUGUGAAGAGGAAGGAUGGCCUCAUUAAGUGCAAGGACAUUGUCAUACAGACCUGGUUCCCAUGCUAGCAUCCUGAGUGCCAAGACCAGAGAAGCCUGGAGUGGUCUACUGACCUCUAGCAGCCCCAGAGAAAACAUGGAAGAGCUGUGCAAGUUUCCGCACAUUCGAGAAGAAUUCAGGAGUAGUGGAGGCCUGAUUGACCCUGGGAGUCUCCUGCAGAAGUGACAGAUGGACAUUGAGGCAGAAAACAGCAAGACCAACUGGGCUCAUGGACACUCCUGGAACGUCAGCAAGCAGAGGCAUCACGGAUACAAGCAGAUGCAUCCCAGGGGAGGCGGCCCUCGCCAGGAUCCCAUAUCGGUUCUGCACACCAUCGGGGAAGGAAGACAAUAGAGAAAAUCCAGAAUUCACUGGACUCUAAGAUGACAAGUCUGAGAGAACACAGAGGUUUUGUAGAAAGGAUUAUACUUGUGUGUUCUGACAUUAAGCGCAUUGUUUCAUUAUAGAAAAUAAUGUAUGUUUCCUGCACACCCAAGUUUGUGGCUUAAGAAA